GGAGAUGUAGCUUAGUGGUAGAGCUCUUGCCGAGCAUUUGCAAGUCCCUGGGUUCCAUCCUCAGCACCA
rnacentral:tRNA from 1 species